UACAGAGGGGGCAAGCGUUGUUCGGAAUUACUGGGCGUAAAGGGCGCGUAGGCGGCCAACUAAGUCGGACGUGAAAUCCCCGGGCUCAACCCGGGAACUGCGUCCGAUACUGGAUGGCUUGAAUCUGGGAGAGGGAUGUGGAAUUCCAGGUGUAGCGGUGAAAUGCGUAGAUAUCUGGAGGAACACCGGUGGCGAAGGCGGCAUCCUGGACCGGUAUUGACGCUGAGGCGCGAAAGCCAGGGGAGCAAACGGG
rnacentral:rRNA from 1 species